UACGUAGGGGACGAGCGUUGUCCGGAUUCAUUGGGCGUAAAGCGCGCGUAGGCGGCUCGGAAAGUCGGGCGUGAAAUCCCCGGGCUCAACCUGGGAACUGCAUUUGUGACUGCAUGGCUGGAGUGCGGCAGAGGGGGAUGGAAUUCCGCGUGUAGCAGUGAAAUGCGUAGAUAUGCGGAGGAACACCGAUGGCGAAGGCAAUCCCCUGGGCCUGCACUGACGCUCAUGCACGAAAGCGUGGGGAGCAAACAGG
rnacentral:rRNA from 1 species